CAGAGGGUGCGAGCGUUGUCCGGAAUCACUGGGCGUAAAGGGCGCGUAGGUGGCGCUCCAAGUCUGUGGUGAAAGCUCGAUGCUCAACAUCGAGUCGGCCACGGAGACUGGAGGGCUGGAGCACUGUAGGGGCAGAUGGAAUUCCGGGUGUAGCGGUGGAAUGCGUAGAGAUCCGGAAGAACACCGGUGGCGAAGGCGGUCUGCUGGGCAGUUGCUGACACUGAGGCGCGACAGCGUGGGGAGCAAACAGGAUUAGAUACCCUGGUAGUCCACGCCGUAAACGAUGGGCACUAGAUGCUUGGGGGAGCGACCCCCUGAGUGUCGCCGCUAACGCAGUAAGUGCCCCGCCUGGGGAGUACGGCCGCAAGGCUG
rnacentral:rRNA from 1 species